rnacentral:misc_RNA from 1 species
GGAAAAUCGCUUUCUGUCCGAUCGCCGGCGAAAGCGACUCCAUGAAAUAGCAACAGUAUGUGUGUAACUACUGUUUAUGUAAAUGUGGAAGGUAUAUAUAGAGCGAUGGAGAGAUCGGAGACACGUAGGGUGACGGAGAAAGAGAGAAGAGAGAGACAAAAAAACAGUAGUAGAAUUUAGCAGCCAGCCGGAGAAAAGAGAAAUCAAUAGUAUUUUUUAUUUUUUGGAUAUGA